rfam:Schistocephalus solidus strain NST_G2 genome assembly, scaffold: SSLN_scaffold0017626
ACCGCUCGUCAGUUCUACCGAUUCAAUGGUUUAGUUAUGCUCUCGGAUUGACGCCAUUGCAGUGCCAGCUGCAAGGUUGGUGCUCAACAGGUGCCGAGAAGAUAACCAAACUUGAUAAUUUAGAGGAAGUAAAAGUCGUAACAAGGUUUCCGUAGGUGAACCUGCGGAAG